AUACGUAGGGGGCGAGCGUUGUCCGGAAUGAUUGGGCGUAAAGGGCGCGUAGGCGGCCCGGUAAGUCUGGAGUGAAAGUCCUGUUUUUAAGAUGGGAAUUGCUUUGGAUACUGUCGGGCUUGAGUGCAGGAGAGGUAAGUGGAAUUCCCAGUGUAGCGGUGAAAUGCGUAGAGAUUGGGAGGAACACCAGUGGCGAAGGCGACUUACUGGACUGUAACUGACGCUGAGGCGCGAAAGUGUGGGGAGCAAACAGGAUUAGAUACCCUGGUAGUCCACGCGGUAAACGAUGAAUGCUAGGUGUUGCGGGUAUCGACUCCUGCAGUGCCGGAGUCAACACAAUAAGCAUUCCGCCUGGGGAGUACGGCCGCAAGGUUGAAACUCAAAUGAAUUGACGGGG
rnacentral:rRNA from 1 species